rnacentral:rRNA from 1 species
AUUGAACGCUGGCGGCAGGCCUAACACAUGCAAGUCGAGAGGAGCGGCGGACGGGUGACUAAUGCAUAGGAAUGUGCCUGGUAGUGCGGGAGAAAGUCCGGACACGGGCGAUAAUACCGCAUACUGUCAGACGUGACAAGGUCGGAUUAGCUAGUUGGUGGGGUAAAGGACUACCAGGGCGCCGAUCCGUAACUGGUGGGAGCGGAUGAUCAGUCACACUGGAACUGAGACACGGUCCAGACUCCUACGGGAGGCAGCAGUGGGGAAUAUUGGACAAUGGGCGAAAGCCUGAUCCAGCCAUGCCGCGUGUGUGAAGAAGGUCUUCGGAUUGUAAAGCACUUUAAGUUGGGAGGCGUUACCAACAGAAUAAGCACCGGCUAACUUCGUGCCAGCAGCCGCGGUAAUAC